rnacentral:rRNA from 1 species
AAUGAACGCUGGCGGCGUGCUUAACACAUGCAAGUCGAGCGAGGCCUGGGGGGCAACUCCCAGAGUCGAGCGGCGGACGGGUGAGUAACACGUGGGUAACCUGCCCGGAAGUGGGGAAUACCUCGGGAAACUCGAGCUAAUACCGCAUGACAUCUCCGGGACGAAAGUCCUGGCGAUCAAAGCGGGUCGCAAGAUCUCGCGCUACCGGAUGGGCCCGCGCCCGAUUAGCUAGUUGGGAGGUAACGGCUCACCAAGGCUUCGAUCGGUAACCGGCCUGAGAGGGCGAUCGGUCACACCGGAACUGAGACACGGUCCGGACUCCUACGGGAGGCAGCAGUGGGGAAUCUUGCGCAAUGGGCGAAAGCCUGACGCAGCAACGCCGCGUGGAGGGUGAAGGCCCUU